GCACGAGUAGCUCAGUGGUAGAGCGGCUGUCUUACACACAGUUGGUCAGGAGUUCGAAUCUCUUCUCGUGUA
rnacentral:tRNA from 1 species